UACGAAGGGGUCUAGCGUUGCUCGGAAUCACUGGGCGUAAAGGGUGCGCAGGCGGGUCUUUAAGUCAGGGGUGAAAUCCUGGAGCUCAACUCCAGAACUGCCUUUGAUACUGAGGAUCUUGAGUUCGGGAGAGGUGAGUGGAACUGCGAGUGUAGAGGUGAAAUUCGUAGAUAUUCGCAAGAACACCAGUGGCGAAGGCGGCUCACUGGCCCGAUACUGACGCUGAGGCACGAAAGCGUGGGGAGCAAACAGG
rnacentral:rRNA from 1 species